rnacentral:rRNA from 1 species
CCGAUUGGGACGAGGAGGACAUUACCGAGUUUACAAACUCCCAAACCCUUUGUGAACCUUACCUAUCGUUGCUUCGGCGGGACCGCCCCGGCGCCUUCGGGCCCGGAACCAGGCGCCCGCCGGAGGCCCCAAACUCUUAUGUCUUUAGUGGUUUUCUCCUCUGAGUGACACAUAAACAAAUAAAUAAAAACUUUCAACAACGGAUCUCUUGGUUCUGGCAUCGAUGAAGAACGCAGCGAAAUGCGAUAAGUAAUGUGAAUUGCAGAAUUCAGUGAAUCAUCGAAUCUUUGAACGCACAUUGCGCCCGCCAGUAUUCUGGCGGGCAUGCCUGUUCGAGCGUCAUUUCAACCCUCAGGCCCCCAGUGCCUGGCGUUGGGGAUCGGCGCGGGCGGCGACGGCUCUCCGGAGCCCGAGCCAAUGCCUGCCGGCCCCGAAAUUCAGUGGCGGUCUCGCUGUAGUCCCCCUCUGCGUAGUAGCACAACUCGCAUUGGAGCUCGGCGGUGGCCAUGCCGUAAAACACCCCACUUCUGAAAGUUGACCUCGGAUCAGGUAGGAAUACCCGCUGAACUUAAGCAUAUCAAUAAGCCGGAGGAA